AUCGCUUCUCGGCCUUUUGGCGAAGAUCAAGUGUAGUAUCUGUUCUUAUCAGUUUAAUAUCUAAAAAGAAAAGGAGUGUGGGUGUGUGCAUAAGGCCUGAUUUAUAUUUUAUAAAGCCUCCUGCAUUCUCCAAGUGUUUUUUGUGCGUCGACUCUAUAACGCACACAGGUUUAUGUGUUUUUGUGUGCUCAGCCCACAUGCAUCUGCCUGUU
rnacentral:snRNA from 1 species